rnacentral:rRNA from 1 species
UAAGGAAUAUUGGUCAAUGGACGCAAGUCUGAACCAGCCAUGCCGCGUGGAGGAUGAAGGUCCUCUGGAUUGUAAACUUCUUUUAUCUGGGAAGAAAUCCAUUUUUUCUAGAAUGGUUGACGGUACCAGAUGAAUAAGCACCGGCUAACUCCGUGCCAGCAGCCGCGGUAAUACGGAGGGUGCAAGCGUUAUCCGGAUUCACUGGGUUUAAAGGGUGCGUAGGUGGGUAAGUAAGUCAGUGGUGAAAUCUCCGGGCUUAACCCGGAAACUGCCAUUGAUACUAUUUGUCUUGAAUACUGUGGAGGUCAGCGGAAUAUGUCAUGUAGCGGUGAAAUGCUUAGAUAUGACAUAGAACACCAAUUGCGAAGGCAGCUGGCUACACAAAUAUUGACACUGAGGCACGAAAGCGUGGGGAUCAAAACAGGAUUAGAUACCCUGGUAGUCCACGCCCUAAACUAUGGAUAACUCGACAUUUGCGAU